CGUGGGUAACCUGCCCAAGAGAUCGGGAUAACACCUGGAAACAGAUGCUAAUACCGGAUAACAACAGAUGAUGCCUAUCAACUGUUUAAAAGAUGGUUCUGCUAUCACUCUUGGAUGGACCUGCGGUGCAUUAGCUAGUUGGUAGGGUAACGGCCUACCAAGGCGAUGAUGCAUAGCCGAGUUGAGAGACUGAUCGGCCACAUUGGGACUUAGACACGGCCCAAACUCCUACGGGAGGCAGCAGGU
rnacentral:rRNA from 1 species